UUUAAUCUUUCCAUCGUUCAAGAUGUAGUCGGUGGGAAAACUUCCCCUGCAUCCUGUGACUUUGCUGAGUAUUCUGUUAAUAGAGCUUAUGGUCAUAUUAAUUUUCCAAAUGCUAUUUGUAUUAAUCCGUUCUCUACAACUAUAACAAGUAACUUAGAUAAUCGACUUACAAAGAAAAUGUUUUGGCUCAGUUUUUAAGGUUCCAGUUCAUUACAGGAAAGACCCAUUGUGUUUAACCUUGUGUUGAGACAGCAUGUCAUGGCAGAAGCAUGUGGUGGAACAAAACCACUCGCCUCAUGGCCGGGAAACAAAAGGGAAGAAGAGAUGAGGAUUCUCUAGUCCCUUUCCAGGGCAUGGCCCCCAUGACCUAAAGACCUCCCACUAGUCACCACCUCCCAGUGGCCCUGCCCUGGGGACCAAGCCUUUAGUACAUGGACAUUUAGGAGCAUUCAAGAGCAAACUCAUAUUCCUUUUCUACUUAAGAAGUUGGAAUAUCCCAACUGUGUUAGAGCCACGACUAAUGGCUGGCCGCCCUGUCUGGCCCUCCAGAGUUGAAACAGGAGGAGGGAGGCGAGGUGAGGGAGGGAGCAAGGUCUUAACUCUUGAAGUUGUCCUAAACUGGCCUCCCUGCCUGGGGCUGAGCAGGGCUUAGCUCAUGUUCUUUCUUCCUCUCUUGGGGUACUUUCAGGGAUCUUUGGAGACCCUUCUAUCCCCCACCUCUUGUCCCCAAUUCAGAGCCUCUCAUUGACAGCUGCCCCGUUGUGCCAGUGCUCUGUACUUUGACCUACUUCUUCCUUGGCAGCUUCUCAGAAUCCAGUGACAACCCAGCUUUCUGCUGAGCCUUGCUCACACCCCUUCCCCAAUUGGACAGGCCUGAAGAUGACCCCAGGCCCACCUGGUGAUCACUGUGGCCAGGUCUCAUCAAGAGAAAGGCAUUUGUACCCCUUCCUGUCAGCCUUGGCUUAUUCAAGGCAGCCUCAGUGCACCUUUUCCCUCAGAUUCAACGGGUGAGUCAGACAACAACCCCCCGAGUCCCGGCACUGUUGGGGCCAGUUCAAGCUCUCUGAAUGGCUCCUGAAAAGCCCUGUCACUCAGUAGUUAAGAGGUCCCUUCCAACCUAAGACACAC
rnacentral:lncRNA from 1 species